UACGAAGGGGGCGAGCGUUGUUCGGAAUUACUGGGCGUAAAGGGCGCGUAGGCGGCCCUCUUUGUCGCGUGUGAAAGCCCCGGGCUCAACCUGGGAACGGCGCGCGAAACGGGGGGGCUGGAGUUCGGGAGAGGAGCGUGAAUUCCCGAGUGUAGAGGUGAAAGUUCGUAGAUAUUGGGAAGAACACCGGUGGCGAAGGCGGCGCUCUGGACCGAGACUGACGCUGAGGCGCGAAAGCGUGGGGAGCAAACAGG
rnacentral:rRNA from 1 species